rnacentral:lncRNA from 1 species
UAGUCAAACUGAUUUUAUUGUCUUUAUAAACUUUCAGAGGACUUUUUGGUGUGGGGGAAGGGUGUUCAAUGCAUUUGAGUAUCUUAAAUGCAAGSCAGAAUAUUACCAACAGCAAUUCAUGCUGUGGGUGGCAAUGAACACUAGGCAACUUUUAUCUGGCUGUCUAAUUUUAAUUAGGAUGGAAAAUCCAGCCUAUGUUUAUGUCAUUUUCUGUUUGUGUAACACUAAUAAAAACUGGUUGCCUGUAUAAAAAAAAAAAAAAAAAGAAGAAAAGAGAAGAAAGAACAGAGGAUGCUGGCAAAAGACAAAGCAAGAAACAAUAACAUAGCGUUCAGCUCAGUGGAUUCGAUUCAGCCAGUUCUGGAACAGCAAGGCUCCAGUUACUGUUUGUCUUCCUGGCGUGCCAAGAAGGCCCACGAUGCAAGCAGAUGUGACUCGUCAGAACGAACCAAUGGCAUCUCACAACAACCCCAGUAUGGGCCACGUGCUGUCAGUGAUCCUGAUGUUCUAGCCCGGCUCGCUGAAGAUGUUUUUUGCCUCAGGUUUCUCAUUAUUACC